UACGGAGGAUCCGAGCGUUAUCCGGAUUUAUUGGGGUUAAAGGGUGCGUAGGCGGACUGAUAAGUCAGCUGUGAAAGUUUACGGCUCAACCGUGAAAUUGCAGUUGAUACUGUUGGUCUUGAGUAUACAUGAGGUGGGCGGAAUUUGUGGUGCAGCGGUGAAAUGCGUAGAUAUCAGAAAGAACUCCAAUUGCGAAGGCAGCUCACUGGGGUAUAACUGACACUGAGGCACGAAGGUGUGGGUAGCAAACAGG
rnacentral:rRNA from 1 species